rnacentral:rRNA from 1 species
UACGUAGGGGGCAAGCGUUGUCCGGAAUCAUUGGGCGUAAAGAGCGUGUAGGCGGCCCGGUAAGUCCGCCGUGAAAGUCCAGGGCUCAACCCUGGGAUGCCGGUGGAAACUGUCGGGCUAGAGUCCGGAGGAGGCGAGUGGAAUUCCUGGUGUAGCGGUGAAAUGCGCAGAUAUCAGGAGGAACACCGGUGGCGAAGGCGGUUCUCUGGGCCUUACCUGACGCUGAGGAGCGAAAGCGUGGGGAGCGAACAGG